GUGCUGGCUUCAGCAGUAUAUACACUAAAACUGGAAUGAUAUAGAGAAGAUUAGCAUGUCCCCUACACAAGGAUGACAUGCAAAAAAAAAAUCAUGAAGCUUUCCAU